GAUGAACGCUGGCGGCGUGCCUAACACAUGCAAGUCGAGCGGACAGACGCUGCUUGCACCGUACUCGAGUGGCGGACGGGUGAGUAACACGUAGGUGAUUUGCCCUGCACUACGGCUUACGUCAGGUAAAGUGGGCGUAAUACGGACUCGGCGCCAUUUUGAAUGUGAUGGUUCGAUAGUUUUAUCGGUGUAGGAUGAGCCUGCGGCGUAUCAGCUAGUUGGUGGGGUAAUGGCCUACCGAGGCGGCGAUCGGUAACCAAUGUGAGGGGGUGAUCAGGCACACUGGAACUGAGACACGGUCCAGACUCCUACGGGCGGCAGAAGUGGGGAAUCGUGGGAACUGGGGGAAAGCCUGAACAAGCAACGCCGCGUGAGUGAAGAAGGUCUUCGGAUGGUAAAACGCUGUUAGUGGGGAAGACGACAUGUGCUAGGAACUAUGCAUGUUUUGACGGUACCUAGAGAAAAAGCACCGGCUAACUACGUG
rnacentral:rRNA from 1 species